UUCUGUUAGUAUAAACUCCACCUAUUAAUCAAUAAUCUCUUUUUUUAGUUAAUGUUUAACUGAAAGAGGACUAAGACUUCAGACUAGCUGGAGAUCUGACACACUGAAAUCUUUUCUUAACCUUGCUAUGAACGUUUACAGGUUGGUUUAGGCUCUUAGUUUUUCAAAAAGAUCUGCUCUGAACAGAAGGAGUAGGCCAUUUUUCUCUUAUUUUAGUUUUGGUCUGUAAUUGGGAAUCAACCUGCCAGUAUAAAUUUUCUCUUUUUUCAAGAGCCAACUACGUGAGCCAUUUCUGUGGUACCCUGCGCUUACGGACUUCCUUGGGGGACAUCUCUACGAAACUGGGCGACCGAGCCCUAGCGCUGUCCGGAUGAGAGCAUGCCCCCAUCGACACCCGGGUCGCUGGCGAGAAGAUGGCCCUGCGGCUCUGAACCCUGCCGAGGGCCCGUGCCCUGCCCACAGCACCAGCGGCAGAGCGGAGAGAGAGGAUCGGAAAUGCUGCACAGCUGCAGUAUGAAACAUACCAUAUUUGCAAAACAGAGCUUGACGUGUCUGCAUAACUCAUUGCUGUGGAAAGAGUCAUCAGGAUGAUGUAUUGAAACACAGC
rnacentral:lncRNA from 1 species